UGGUAGUGGCCGAACACUCAUUUGUACAGACGUUGAAAGAAAUGAAUUCCCCGGCAUUUCGUUUCUCAACGGUAACUUUAUUUUUUUUCCACUAUGCUCGCCAAGUGUUUGACCAAAAACCUCAACCAGGUCAAAACUCUCUUAGAGUAAAUUACUCUAAUAAUUAACUCUGCUUUCUAUAUGCACUAAGCUCAGGGAUCUGAGAUGGGACUGGAGAAUCUGACAGGAUGGAGAGGAGUGGUAUUGCGGCAUGGAGUGCAAUGGUAAUGCCAAGAUGAGAGAUCCAAUGAGACCUUGGAAGUUACUCGGUUGCUUCACUAAUUAUUGUUGAAUACUCAUGGAGCUUGUAUAUUACUGCGGAGCUCGAUUCAAAUUGCAGAAAUAGUCUGGCAAUUAACCAUUUAUUGUCUUUGCCUAUCCACUCAACAGAUCAAAUUGACUUGUGUCGUUCUGGUCUAGCAGAAAAGUGGUGAUUCCUUUAAUUCAUUUCCAGAUCUCCUCCAGUUUAUUUAAUCAAGAUGUUAGAAAACGAAGUUUCAAAGCAGCUGCCUCUUGGUAUUACGUAACUCUUACCAAAGUGUUGGAAGCAUGUCAUCCUACGACCGACUGUGCAGGAAUGAAGCAACCGAGUAACUUCCAGUACUGUUCGACAAGUCUAAGAAACUGAUCUCUUGCUGCAUAAUCAUCCCUUGGAGAGUUUAGAGAACAUCUCGUUCACAUUGACACUCGAGUUUUCUUGAGAAUAAAGAUUCCUGCAACUGUUGAAUAUCAAUGGAGAAUUAAUCCAUACAUUUCCUUUGACAGCUGCGAUGAUAUUAAUGACAUAAAAGUAAAACAAAUGGCGCUUAUCAUGGCCAUGGGUCUCGUGUCUCUACUCCUACUUUUAAUAUAUUUCUUUUUUUUCC